ensembl:lncRNA
CAUAAAUGUAUAGUAAAGCCGUCUUCUCAUUUGUGAACUGAACAGAAUGCAUUUGUUAUCUGUGUGUAAACCCUGAUGUCUCAAGGCUCGACCCGCCCCCUACGACACAUUCUUCAGAUUCUUGUUUCAGACGAGCCCACUUCAUACACGGGCAUGUCUGGGCCGCCCCACUGGCCAAAGGGCUGGCAAAUCAACCGCUCACUUUACUGGAAACCGGAUUACUUGUAAGUUGUAACCUAACUUCAGAGUAGGAGGGUGAACUCUACAUUGCAUUUAAGAAGAAUGGCUCCAGAGAGCGCAGUCAGACCCGACGAAAAUCUGAUGAUGAUGCAGGAGCUGGAGGAUCGCCUUAAGGAGCAGAUUGAUAAACUUGAACACAUUCGCCUCGCUGCACUAAACAUUAAGGAAAAUCUGUCAGCGGCAAAUAGAAGCGACUUAAACGAGGCGGUUUCACACCAUCUGGCCUGGUUAAGUGACUUGUCAGAACGUUUGGACGACCUUCACAUGAAUACAACUGUUUUUGUUCAGAUGAAUCCAAAGCCCUGUGUGAGAGCUGGGAAACAUGACUCAAAACAGCGCUCCCGCAGAAGUCGCUUUCAUCAGAAUAAUGAUCCUCGCUCAGAACACAGCCGGGCCCCAUCCGAAACGGUUAAACGUGUCUAGGAACCUCCUUUCCUUUCCUUGCCUCGACCCGGAAGUGCUCCAUCUUCAGCCAUGACAGCCAAAUUCAUCAGUGAAGUUAGGAAGAAGUAAGAAAAGGAGCGUCCUUUUAUAUCUCCUUUAGCGUAGGGGCCUGAGAAUUUCAACACGGCCGAGCACAUAAAUGUCCCGAUUGUUGAGAAGAGAGAAGAUGCUGCUGUGGAAUAAAAAGCUCUGAUCUGACUCUGAAAAGUUUCAACAUGAACCACCUCCAACAUCUCCUCCUCCUCCAGCUUCUGUCCCAACAAAUACUCCACCAAACCCCGUCCUUCAGUCCGUCUGCAGGAGCAUGGGGUGGUGCUCCAGGCUCCAUCAGCAGAGUUAUGCAAAUGAGACGUGUGACUUUAAGUUUGAUUUCUGUAAUAAACAAAGUGUCCAAAUCGUAAAAUAAACAAAGAGAGGAAGAAAGAAAGAGAGAAAGAAAUAAACAAAGUGUCC